ensembl:lncRNA
AUUCCUCUUCUUAUUCUGUGCUCCGGUUAGGCAGAGCACUACUGCUAUCUAGUUUUAAGUAACAAUAACAUAGAACAACUUCUAAUGCCUCGAAACUAAGAAGUAGAAUAGACAGAUAAAUUAGUUCAACAAGGGGAAAAGGCCAACAAGAUAUGAGAAAUAAUGGCUUUAUGUUACCAAGGGAAAAAAGCCCCAGGACCCUGCUCCUCAUGAGGCUGAAUGUUCUCCAGCUGUUUCUGGUAUGUUUCCUACAGUAUCUCCAACAUACAGCUAACCAGAGAACACUGUCCUAGGUCUAAAAUAGAUUUAUGAUACAAUUUUGUAGUUGUAUUUUCUGUCUCAGCCAUUCAUUCUCUGUGGGUGAUAAAGCUUAUCCUUUAGAGAGGACCUCAGAGCAUUACAGGCUAAUAAAAACAACUGAUACGCCUUCAUGCUUCAGUCUACAGUGCAGUGAUUUCAGCAGUUGCACAUUCUAAAAGCACUGCGACACAGAGGUCAGAGGAUGAUAUCCAGGGCAGAGUAGAGUUAAGGAAGAGGAUUAGGAUCAAAUAGGUUUUAAAAGCACCGAUCACAUCUGAGGGACUAAAUGUAAUUUAUCUAGCUCUGAUAACAUUAAGAACCAAAACAAAGUGUUAUCCUGUUUUAGUUCAGAUAAAAAAUCCAACUCAGAACUACUGAAAAUCUGAAAGAGAUGGUGUUGCAUUGUUGCAAUUCUAGUAGGAGAUAUGUGAUGCCAUGUAGGUCCUCCACAUAUUAAAUAUAUUUUUAUGUAGUCCUAUGGAGUUCCUAAUGACAUGGACUAGUCUUAGAUGUAGAAUUCUAUUUCUGUAUUUUGCUAAGUCAGGGCUUUGCCAUGUAAGGUCUUGUCUGAGGUCAACCUCCAGCCUUGCUUGCAGCUGAUACAGAAGAUAAGAAGAUAUCCUGGUCCUCCUGCCAGGAUUUCACAUGCUUGCACAAUGAACCCUGCUCCAUCUCUGGGAACAAAGUUCCAGUAGUGUAGCCACUAUUCACAAGAAAACUUAUACAGGCUGGUGACAGUCAAGAAGUAGAUUUGCACAGUGCUGGAGAGGAAAGCUAACUGUUUGUUUCUCUUAUUCUUUUAAAGUUUAGAUGGAAUUAUAUGAAUCAUCAAAUUAUUUUAUGAAGGACAGUCGUAAGUGUGUUUCCAUACUAUGUGCAGACCAGUAAAUCUAAUGAGUUUGAAAUGCUGUGUUGGACGAGCACAUAGUGAAGCAUAACACUACAGCAGACUCAGAUCUCUUUGCUCCAGGCAGUCUGAUCAGCCUGCUUGGUGACCUACAGGAGGGAGAAAAAGCCCAGGUAUCUAAGCCAGGUAUAUAAUGUAAAUGGUCCCUGCUGCAGGGCAACUCACCAAGCUUAGACAAGAUUGAGAUUUCAGGUGCAGUUGAUCACUUGUUUUUUAACCAUGGAUGUCCUAUUGUUCUAUCUGAGUUUCAUGUCUUGUAGCCCAGGGCAUAACUACCCAGAUGGAUGCUGCUUGGAUAGGUGCUUGAAGUUGCCUAAGUCAGUUGUCAACCUGAGCUUGUAAACCCUGCUGAGAGGUAAGUUGCAGUAUUUCAGGCUCAGUGCCCUAAUGAAACAGAUAAACUAUAUAGAGACAUACAGACAUGUCUUCAGUUGCGUGAUACUCAGGUAAUCUUGCAGUAACACUUAGAUGAAGUGGCUGAGGAGAAAGUUCUUUAGAGAAAGGGAUACUCAUACAGUGCUGGAGAUUUGUGCUGUGUUACACGGCACAGUUAUGAUCUGUUCUUGCAUUUUUGAGUAGUCUGCUUUGCCCUUUAUCCAUAGCAAUACAUUUCACUUUUCAUAGUCUACUGUAACUUCAAGAACAUACCACAUAUUCCAAGUAACAAAAGUGAUUAAGUUGUCAUGUAUCUUCAGUGGAAACCUCUUGUUUUGUUAUUUGUGUCUGCAUCAGUGAGGGGUCUGAGUACAGAUACAGGGCUGCAAGGUAUGCUACAGUUCAAAUAGUAGCAUAACAAUUAUUAUAAGGUUUCCUGUUUAUAUUGAAAACUCUCAUAGGAUUGGACUUUCUACCUCAAAAACUUAAGGAAACAUUAAUGUCAGCAGGCCUUUCGUUUUCAGAAAUAAUUCUCAAAUUCAUAGAAUUGGUCAGGUUGGAAAAUACCUUAAAGAUCAUAAAAUCCAAUUGCAAGAUUCAAUAGAUUUAGCUUCUAGCAAGUGUGCACGCUCAGUCAGACAU